rnacentral:rRNA from 1 species
CCUACGGGUGGCAGCAGUCGAGAAUCAUUCACAAUGGGGGAAACCCUGACGCAGCGACGCCGCGUGCGGGAUGAAGGUCUUCGGAUCGUAAACCUCUGUCAGCAGGGAAGAACGGUCACUGUGCUAAUCAGCAGUGAAUUGACGGUACCUGCAAAGGCAGCACCGGCUAACUCCGUGACAGCAGCCGCGGUAAUACGGAGGGUGCGAGCGUUAAUCGGAAUUACUGGGCGUAAAGCGCUCGUAGGCGGUAUGUCAAGUCAAGGGUGAAAUCCCCGCGCUCAACGUGGGAACUGCCGUUGAAACUGGCAAACUGGAGUGUGUGAGAGGAUAGUGGAAUUCCAGGUGUAGGAGUGAAAUCCGUAGAUAUCUGGAGGAACAUCAGUGGCGAAGGCGACUAUCUGGCACAUAACUGACGCUGAGGAGCGAAAGCGUGGGUAGCAAACAGGAUUAGAUACCCCUGUAGUC